GAAGCAAGGACCAAAGGGGGAAACCCUAACUUUUAGAAAAUCUCAAGAUUAGGAAGACAAUAAGAGCCCAAACCAAUGCAUGAACUCGAAUUUUCAACCAUCUAAGCUUGUUCAUCAAAAGGCGUGAAGGAAGAAAGCUCGAACACUAGUAAAGCGGGAGGCGUACAAGAUCGAGGUAAAUCCUCAACUUAGGCGACUCGGCGAAAUGGAGCGAGCACAUGAUCAAAAUAUGUCUUACCAAGCGCUUCCGCUAGCUUAUGUUAAUGUUUUGGGUCAAAAUACUUUUGUACAAUUUGUUGGUAAAACACCUUUAAGUACUUGAUGUUUUAGUUUUUAGUAGUAUCUUGUAGAAUGCUAGUGUCUUGAUUGUGGAUAUAACAGGGGUAUACUCGUUUUACG